rnacentral:rRNA from 1 species
CUACGGGUGGCUGCAGUGGGGAAUAUUGCACAAUGGAGGAAACUCUGAUGCAACAACGCCGCGUGGAGGAUGACACUUUUCGGAGCGUAAACUCCUUUUAUAUAGGAAGAAGAUGACGGUACUAUAUGAAUAAGCGCCGGCUAACUCCGUGCCAGCAGCCGCGGUAAUACGGAGGGCGCAAGCGUUACUCGGAAUCACUGGGCGUAAAGAGCGUGUAGGCGGAUUAAAAAGUCAGAAGUGAAAUCCUAUAGCUUAACUAUAGAACUGCUUCUGAAACUCUUAAUCUAGAAUAUGGGAGAGGUAGAUGGAAUUUCUGGUGUAGGGGUAAAAUCCGUAGAGAUCAGAAGGAAUACCGAUUGCGAAGGCGAUCUACUAGAACAUUAUUGACGCCGAGACGCGAAAGCGUGGGGAGCAAACAGGAUUAGAUACCCCUGUAGUC